AGCUCAAAUUUAAAAUCUGGCAGUGUUUCACUGUCCGAGUUGUAACCUAGAGAAGUGUAACCUGCGCUGGACCGUGUAUAAGUCUCCUGGAAUGGAGCGUCACAGAGGGUGAGAAUCCCGUCUUUGACACGGACUACCAGUGCAUUGUGGUUGUGCUCUCAACGAGUCGAGUUGUUUGGGAAUGCAGCUCUAAAUGGGUGGUAAAUUCCAUCUAAAGCUAAAUAUUGGCGAGAGACCGAUAGCGAACAAGUACCGUGAGGGAAAGAUGAAAAGAACUUUGGAAAGAGAGUUAAACAGUAUGUGAAAUUGUUGAAAGGGAAACGUUUGAAGUCAGUCGCGUUGGUUGGGGAUCAGCCUGACAUUUGUUGGGUGUACUUCCUGGUUGACGGGCCAACAUCAGUUUUGACUGCCAGAAAAAGGCCAAAGGAAUGUGGCACCUUUGGGUGUGUUAUAGCCUUUGGUCGUAUAUGGUGGUUGGGACUGAGGAAAGCAGCGUGCCGAAAGGCCGGGUUUCGACCACGUUCACGCUGA
rnacentral:rRNA from 1 species